CUAAAUCAUGGUCACUGAUGUGAAAUAGUCUGGAUUCAUCUUGUCUUGUGUGUGCUGUAUGCAGUAUGCAAAUCAGUCUUUACGGAUUGCAGACUAGUUAAAUUGACAAUGUAUUAUUACAUCAGCUCUUGAUGUGGUUAAAUACAUUUAAAUUAAGCAAGGUUAACAGCGUUUGUAUUAUGCAGGCCACAUCCGCUGCGGGGAAUCUGUGACAUCAUAUCGAUCAAAGGGGGUUGUUUCAUGCCUUGUGAUCAGUGCUUCGGUCUGGGUAUUCAUUCUACCAUUGUAUGCUUUGCCUAGCUGCAGCAAGUUUUGCGCUUCGAUACCUUUUCCCGACCCACCCACCCAUGUUCAUUC